rnacentral:rRNA from 1 species
CAGCAGCCGCCACGGUAAUACGUAGGGUGCAAGCGUUAAUCGGAAUUACUGGGCGUAAAGCGUGCGUAGGCGGCUUCUUAAGUCGGAUGUGAAAUCCCUGAGCUUAACUUAGGAAUUGCAUUCGAUACUGGGAAGCUAGAGUAUGGGAGAGGAUGGUAGAAUUCCAGGUGUAGCGGUGAAAUGCGUAGAGAUCUGGAGGAAUACCGAUGGCGAAGGCAGCCAUCUGGCCUAAUACUGACGCUGAGGUACGAAAGCAUGGGGAGCAAACAGGAUUAGAUACCCCUGUAGUCCCUGUCUCUUU